rnacentral:lncRNA from 1 species
AAUAAUUAAAAUGAAAUAUUAACAUUAAAUAAAUACGAAAAUAAAAAUUAAAUAAAAUUAAAUAAAGCAUCAAGAAAUAUGGAAAAUAUUUUUGGGUAUUUUUAUGGACAAAAUAAAUAUUUUAUAUCAAUAAAAAUCAAAACGGAAAAUAAAUGUGAAUUAAAAAAGAAAAAAGAAAAAUGGAAAUGUAUUAGUGCUGAUGGGCCAGGAAAGGGGGGGUGUUGAAAGCAGGUAGCGCAGGCCCAUAAUCCAAACAAUAAUUAAAACCAGCAUGACACAAGUGAAAUAACAUUUUAAUAAAAUAAAUCAUGUGAACAUUAUCAACCGGUCACAUUUAUUUAAAACGCUACAAGACAAAAAAGGAUGGGCG